AUUGAACGCUGGCGGCAUGCCUUACACAUGCAAGUCGAACGGCAGCACGGGAGCAAUCCUGGUGGCGAGUGGCGAGCGGGUGAGUAAAGUAUCGGAACGUGCCCAGUCGUGGGGGAUAACGUAGCGAAAGUUACGCUAAUACCGCAUACGAUCUAUGGAUGAAAGCGGGGGAUAGCAAGACCUCGCGCGAUUGGAGCGGCCGAGAGCAGAUGAGGUGGUUGGUGGGGUAAAGGCUCACCAAGCCGACGAUCUGUAGCUGGUCUGAGAGGACGACCAGCCACACUGGGACUGAGACACGGCCCAGACUCCUACGGGAGGCAGCAGUGGGGAAUUUUGGACAAUGGGCGAAAGCCUGAUCCAGCCAUGCCGCGUGCAGGAUGAAGGCCUUCGGGUUGUAAACUGCUUUUGUACGGAACGAAAAGGUUUGGGCUAAUAAGCUGAGCUCAUGACGGUACCGUAAGAAUAAGCACCGGCUAACUACGUGCCAGCAGCCGCCGUAA
rnacentral:rRNA from 1 species